GACGAACGCUGGCGGCGUGCUUAACACAUGCAAGUCGAACGGAAAGGCCCUGCUUUUGUGGGGUGCUCGAGUGGCGAACGGGUGAGUAACACGUGAGUAACCUGCCCUUGACUUUGGGAUAACUUCAGGAAACUGGGGCUAAUACCGGAUAGGAGCUCCUGCUGCAUGGUGGGGGUUGGAAAGUUUCGGCGGUUGGGGAUGGACUCGCGGCUUAUCAGCUUGUUGGUGGGGUAGUGGCUUACCAAGGCUUUGACGGGUAGCCGGCCUGAGAGGGUGACCGGCCACAUUGGGACUGAGAUACGGCCCAGACUCCUACGGGAGGCAGCAGUGGGGAAUAUUGCACAAUGGGCGGAAGCAUGAUGCAGCAACGCCGCGUGCGGGAUGACGGCCUUCGGGUUGUAAACCGCUUUCGCCUGUGACGAAGCGUGAGUGACGGUAAUGGGUAAAGAAGCACCGGCUAACUACGU
rnacentral:rRNA from 1 species